CGAAGGGGCGUAGCGUUGUUCGGAAUUACUGGGGCGUAAAGGGCGCGUAGACGGCUUUUCUAAGUCAGGCGUGAAAUCCCCGGGCGUUAACCUGGGAACUGCGCUUGAGACUGGAAGGCUUGAGUUCGGGAGAGGUGAGUGGAAUUCCCAGUGUAGAGGUGAAAUUCGUAGAUAUUGGGAGAACACCAGCGGCGAAGGCGGCUCACUGGACCGAUACUGACGCUGAGGCGCGAAAGCGUGGGGGAGCAAACAGGAUU
rnacentral:rRNA from 1 species